rnacentral:rRNA from 1 species
GGCUCAGGACGAACGCUGGCGGCGUGCCUAAUACAUGCAAGUCGAACGGCUUUUCUAUGGAAGCUUGCUUCCACUGAAAAGAUAGUGGCGAACGGGUGAGUAACACGUGGGUAACCUGCCCAUAAGAGGGGGGAUAACAUCCGGAAACGGGUGCUAAUACCGCAUAGUUUUCUUGAUCGCAUGAUCGGGAAAGGAAAGACGGCCUUUGUGCUGUCGCUUAUGGAUGGACCCGCGGCGUAUUAGUUAGUUGGUGAGGUAACGGCUCACCAAGACGAUGAUACGUAGCCGACCUGAGAGGGUGAUCGGCCACAUUGGGACUGAGACACGGCCCAAACUCCUACGGGAGGCAGCAGUAGGGAAUCUUCCGCAAUGGACGAAAGUCUGACGGAGCAACGCCGCGUGAGUGAAGAAAAGGUUUUCGGAUCGUAAAACUCUGUUGUCAGAGAAGAACAAGUUGGAGAGUAACUGCUCCAGCCUUGACGGUAUCUGACCAGAAAGCCACGGCUAACUACGUGCCAGCCGCAGC